AGAGUUUGAUCAUGGCUCAGAUUGAACGCUGGCGGCAGGCCUAACACAUGCAAGUCGAACGGUAACAGGAAACAGCUUGCUGUUUCGCUGACGAGUGGCGGACGGGUGAGUAAUGUCUGGGAAACUGCCUGAUGGAGGGGGAUAACUACUGGAAACGGUAGCUAAUACCGCAUAACGUCGCAAGACCAAAGAGGGGGGACCUUCGGGCCUCUUGCCAUCGGAUGUGCCCAGAUGGGAUUAGCUAGUAGGUGGGGUAACGGCUCACCUAGGCGACGAUCCCUAGCUGGUCUGAGAGGAUGACCAGCCACACUGGAACUGAGACACGGUCCAGACUCCUACGGGAGGCAGCAGUGGGGAAUAUUGCACAAUGGGCGCAAGCCUGAUGCAGCCAUGCCGCGUGUAUGAAGAAGGCCUUCGGGUUGUAAAGUACUUUCAGCGGGGAGGAAGGGAGUAAAGUUAAUACCUUUGCUCAUUGACGUUACCCGCAGAAGAAGCACCGGCUAACUCCGUGCCAGCAGCCGCGGUAAUACGGAGGGUGCAAGCGUUAAUCGGAAUUACUGGGCGUAAAGCGCACGCAGGCGGUUUGUUAAGUCAGAUGUGAAAUCCCCGGGCUCAACCUGGGAACUGCAUCUGAUACUGGCAAGCUUGAGUCUCGUAGAGGGGGGUAGAAUUCCAGGUGUAGCGGUGAAAUGCGUAGAGAUCUGGAGGAAUACCGGUGGCGAAGGCGGCCCCCUGGACGAAGACUGACGCUCAGGUGCGAAAGCGUGGGGAGCAAACAGGAUUAGAUACCCUGGUAGUCCACGCCGUAAACGAUGUCGACUUGGAGGUUGUGCCCUUGAGGCGUGGCUUCCGGAGCUAACGCGUUAAGUCGACCGCCUGGGGAGUACGGCCGCAAGGUUAAAACUCAAAUGAAUUGACGGGGGCCCGCACAAGCGGUGGAGCAUGUGGUUUAAUUCGAUGCAACGCGAAGAACCUUACCUGGUCUUGACAUCCACGGAAGUUUUCAGAGAUGAGAAUGUGCCUUCGGGAGCCGUGAGACAGGUGCUGCAUGGCUGUCGUCAGCUCGUGUUGUGAAAUGUUGGGUUAAGUCCCGCAACGAGCGCAACCCUUAUCCUUUGUUGCCAGCGGUCCGGCCGGGAACUCAAAGGAGACUGCCAGUGAUAAACUGGAGGAAGGUGGGGAUGACGUCAAGUCAUCAUGGCCCUUACGACCAGGGCUACACACGUGCUACAAUGGCGCAUACAAAGAGAAGCGACCUCGCGAGAGCAAGCGGACCUCAUAAAGUGCGUCGUAGUCCGGAUUGGAGUCUGCAACUCGACUCCAUGAAGUCGGAAUCGCUAGUAAUCGUGGAUCAGAAUGCCACGGUGAAUACGUUCCCGGGCCUUGUACACACCGCCCGUCACACCAUGGGAGUGGGUUGCAAAAGAAGUAGGUAGCUUAACCUUCGGGAGGGCGCUUACCACUUUGUGAUUCAUGACUGGGGUGAAGUCGUAACAAGGUAACCGUAGGGGAACCUGCGGUUGGAUCACCU
rnacentral:rRNA from 1 species